rnacentral:rRNA from 1 species
GUGGGGAAUAUUGGACAAUGGGCGCAAGCCUGAUCCAGCCAUGCCGCGUGUGUGAAGAAGGUCUUCGGAUUGUAAAGCACUUUAAGUUGGGAGGAAGGGCAGUAAGUUAAUACCUUGCUGUUUUGACGUUACCGACAGAAUAAGCACCGGCUAACUUCGUGCCAGCAGCCGCGGUAAUACGAAGGGUGCAAGCGUUAAUCGGAAUUACUGGGCGUAAAGCGCGCGUAGGUGGUUCGUUAAGUUGGAUGUGAAAGCCCCGGGCUCAACCUGGGAACUGCAUCCAAAACUGGCGAGCUAGAGUACGGUAGAGGGUGGUGGAAUUUCCUGUGUAGCGGUGAAAUGCGUAGAUAUAGGAAGGAACACCAGUGGCGAAGGCGACCACCUGGACUGAUACUGACACUGAGGUGCGAAAGCGUGGGGAGCAAACAGGAUUAGAAACCCUAGUAGUCC